GGUCUAACGUAUAGAGAUUGACGAGAGCAUGUGGUAGGAAAACUCAUGCAGCUUAAUCGGUGACCGGAGUCGCCGGAAUUCGUUGAAACUCGCCGGAGCAGACUCGAAGCUUCAGGUCUUCGAUUCUCCUUCUUCGUUCAAUGCAUGGACAAUCAGAGGCCACGCGCGUGACGAAGAUGGCGAGACGGAGAGAAUGCCAGUGGUCCGCCGCUGUGCUGUGGCCGGACGGAGUAGCGCCAGUCGGAUCCUCUUUGCUGGUCUCCGGGUCGCGUCAGUC
rnacentral:lncRNA from 1 species